CAAAGAUCACUCUGAGCUGUUGUAGGGGUCCAGAUCUCUCCGUUUUAGUGAAUGUGGGACUGAGUGUAAAAGUCUYUUCUUUUUUUUUUUUUUGGUUGUAUUAGCCAUAGAAAUCUUGAUGAAAAUGUUUGAAUGUGCUUUUUAACUCCAAAUGUGCAGAAGGAUUUGUGACACCUACUGCAAGGACCAUAGGAGAGUCUCAGAAAUGAACUGAGUUCCCAGGCUCUGUCUGUGAGCUGAAUCUGAAGCUUGGAUGUGAAACCCUCUGGAUCCGACCUUGCGGCCAAGCCUUGUGGGUGGAACAGCGGCAGAGGCAAACAAAGCACGAGUCUGCAAGAGGCUGUCCCAACCCUGCCUGCGUUGCAUGCGCCAGGACUGUUGGAGGCUGUGCUGUGCCCCUCUCGGCCAAGCCCCCUCUUUCAUGUCAGCCAGCUGUUGCUCCUGCCACCCCUGUGCUACCCCUUCUAAUGGCUGUUCAGAAGUGGGGGAUGAAAGGGAGAGCUUCACAGGAGAAGAUGCCAAAACCAGAGGUGAUGAUUUUCACUCUUUCAACACAUCAUCAAAUAGAUCACGCUGCAUAAUUAGUCCCUCUGAACUGGGGGCCCGUUAAUUAGGAUGCAGAGUGUUUGUUUAAGGGAGCCUUGCUCUUU
rnacentral:lncRNA from 1 species